AUCAUUAAUGAAAUUAUAAUCCGGCGAGGGAAAGGCGGAGAGUUGUAGCUGGCCCCAGGGCAUGUGCACGCUCUCUUCCGGACUUUCGCCGUAUGGGCGCGGGGCGACCCGCGUCUUCAUAUACCUCUUCGUGUAGAAAGUCUUUGAAUGUUAUUACCAUCAUCGAGUCGCGACUUCUAGGAGACGCGAUUCUUUGAGACAAAAGUUAUUACAACUUUCAGCAACGGAUCUCUUGGCUCUCGCAUCGAUGAAGAACGCAGCGAAUCGCGAUAUGUAAUGUGAAUUGCAGAUCUACAGUGAAUCAUCGAAUCUUUGAACGCACCUUGCGCUCCUCGGUGUUCCGAGGAGCAUGCCUGUUUGAGUGUCAGUAAAUUCUCAACCCCUCUCGAUUUGCUUCGAUAGGGUGCUUGGAUGUUGGGGGCUGCCGGAGACACUGGACUCGUCCAGGACUCGGGCUCCUCUUAAAUGAAUCGGCUUGCGGUCGACUUUCGACUUUGCAUGACAAGGCCUUUGGCGUGAUAAUGAUCGCCGUUCGCCGAAGUGCAAGACAGAACGGUCCCGUGCCUCUAACGCGUCGACGCCUCUCGGGGCCGUCUUCCUCAUUGACGUUUGACCUCAAAUCAGGUAGGACUACCCGCUGAACUUAAGCAUAUC
rnacentral:rRNA from 1 species